CCCCUUUUCCCUCUGAUGAAACCUCCCACGCCGCUCCUUCUCUUUCCCCCAUCCCCGCCAGUCCGCCACCACGCGCCAAUCCCGCUGUCGCCCGUCGAUCCGGCGCGCAGUUCCACCCUCGUCUCUCUCCCUGGUCCAGCAACGUCACCCAGCCCCUUAGCUUUUCCUCCCGACGCGAAAAUGUCCUUUUGACUCCCGUCUCCGUCUUGUUGGCCCGCAGAUCUGGCAGCCCUCGGCCACGACGCUGCGAGCUCUGGCCGGCUUGACCUCGUCGGCUCGUCGCCCCCAUUCAAUAGUGCUGGACGCCGCUCCUCGGGAUCGCGGCGGUCUUCUUCAUGGGCUCUCUCUCCCUUCACCUCCUACGCCAUGUAUCGGCCCCUUCCUGAAGCUCCUCCUCAUCCGUGUGCCCCCCUGAUGUCGCCGAGUGGACCACGCCCACACCCGCCUCCGCCCGCCUGUACCAGGAUUUGCUCCUGUUGUUCAAGUUGAAUAGCGGGGAGAUGGAGGAGAUGGUGGCAUGAAGGGCUAGUGUGGUGGUGAGGCCACAUCAGAUUCUGAAGGCGGCUCUGAAAGGGGGUGAGAUGAUGCUCGUCAAGACUAACCGAAAAGGAAUGGGAGACAGUACUGAAGAAUCGUGAUCUAUGGCAAGGGUGAUGAUGUAUAUGGCGAUGAUUGUUAUGAUCUAUUUGGCGACGAGCAUUAUGAUCCAUAUGGUGAUGAAGGGUGACGAGUCUAGUGAUCUUUCUUCAAGACGUUCAACAAAGUGAAAUCAUGGGGUUUUGGUCAAUCUAGCUUAUGCAUAAUGCUUGGACCAUUAUAUCUUAGUUUUUUUUUGCAUUUUAAACUUUCUAGAUUGUUCAUCAUGAUCAAUGUAAUUCUGAUGCAACUCUUCUGAUAUUUUGAAAGUUGUGCUAUAUACAAUAUAUGUUACUUGGUCA